rnacentral:rRNA from 1 species
AUUGAACGCUGGCGGCAGGCCUAACACAUGCAAGUCGAACGGUAGCACAGAGAGCUUGCUCUCGGGUGACGAGUGGCGGACGGGUGAGUAACGUCUGGGAAACUGCCCGAUGGAGGGGGAUAACUACUGGAAACGGUAGCUAAUACCGCAUAACGUCGCAAGACCAAAGUGGGGGACCUUCGGGCCUCACAUCAUCGGAUGUGCCCAGAUGUGAUUAGCUAGUAAGUGGGGUAAUGGCUCACCUAGGCGACGAUCCCUAGCUGGUCUGGGAGGAUGACCAGCCACACUGGAACUGAGACACGGUCCAGACUCCUACGGGAGGCAGCAGUGGGGAAUAUUGCACAAUGGGCGCAAGCGUGAUGCAGCCAUGCCGCGUGUAUGAAGAAGGCCUUCGGGUUGUAAAGUACUUUCAGCGGGGAGGAAGGCGGUGGAGUUAAUAACUUCACCGAUUGACGUUACCCGCAGAAGAAGCACCGGCUAACUCCGUGCCAGCAGCCGCCGCAG